rnacentral:snoRNA from 1 species
ACUGCAUUUUUAGCCAUGGUGGCUAAAAACUCACAAGUAUAGGUAAUGUGCAAGUCUUGGGAGGGGCAAGUCUUGGGCUUACACAAGGACCUCUGGCCUAGUGAGUAGAGUUUGAUAGUAAUUCUUGCUACAAGC